rnacentral:rRNA from 1 species
UGGGGAAUUGUUCACAAUGGGCGCAAGCCUGAUGACGCAACGCCGCGUGGGGGAUGAAGGUCUUCGGAUUGUAAACCCCUGUCGAAUGGGACGAAUGGCCUCUGGGCUAAUCACCAGAGGAAUGACGGUACCCUUAAAGGAAGCCACGGCUAACUCUGUGCCAGCAGCCGCGGUAAUACAGAGGUGGCAAGCGUUGUUCGGAAUUACUGGGCGUAAAGGGCGCGUAGGCGGCCAUCUAAGUCAGACGUGAAAUCCCCCGGCUUAACCUGGGAACUGCGUCUGAUACUGGACGGCUUGAGUAUGGGAGAGGGAUGUAGAAUUCCAGGUGUAGCGGUGAAAUGCGUAGAUAUCUGGAGGAAUACCGGUGGCGAAGGCGGCAUCCUGGACCAUUACUGACGCUGAGGCGCGAAAGCUAGGGGAGCAAAC